rnacentral:rRNA from 1 species
GACGUAGGGGGCCAGCGUUGUUCGGAAUUACUGGGUGUAAAGGGCUCGUAGGUGGCCAACUAAGUCAGACGUGAAAUCCCUCGGCUUAACUGGGGAACUGCGUCUGAUACUGGAUGGCUUGAGUUUGGGAGAGGAACGCGGAAUUCCAGGUGUAGCGGUGAAAUGCGUAGAGAUCGGCAGGAACACCCAGGGGGAAACCAGUCGACUGGGCAUCUACUGACGCUGAGGUGCGAGAGCGUGGGGAGCGAACCGG